UACGUAGGGUGCAAGCGUUGUCCGGAAUUACUGGGCGUAAAGCGCACGUAGGCGGACAUUUAAGUCAGGGGUGAAAUCCCAGGGCUCAACCCUGGAACUGCCUUUGAUACUGUCGAUCUGGAGUAUGGAAGAGGUGAGUGGAAUUCCGAGUGUAGAGGUGAAAUUCGUAGAUAUUCGCAAGAACACCAGUGGCGAAGGCGGCUCACUGGCCCGGUACUGACGCUGAGGUGCGAAAGCGUGGGGAGCAAACAGG
rnacentral:rRNA from 1 species